rnacentral:rRNA from 1 species
AUUGAACGCUGGCGGCAGGCCUAACACAUGCAAGUCGAGCGAGCGGCGGACGGGUGAGUAAUGUAUGGGGAACUGCCCGAUAGAGGGGGAUAACUACUGGAAACGGUAGCUAAUACCGCAUACCAUCGGAUGUACCCAUAUGGGAUUAGCUAGUAGGUGGGGUAACGGCUCACCUAGGCGACGAUCCCUAGCUGGUCUGAGAGGAUGAUCAGCCACACUGGAACUGAGACACGGUCCAGACUCCUACGGGAGGCAGCAGUGGGGAAUAUUGCACAAUGGGCGCAAGCCUGAUGCAGCCAUGCCGCGUGUGUGAAGAAGGCCUUAGGGUUGUAAAGCACUUUUGGCAGGGAGGCGUUAUCUGCAGAAGAAGCACCGGCUAACUCCGUGCCAGCAGCCGCGGUAAUAC